AUUCCUACGGGAGGCAGCAGUCGAGAAGCUUCGGCAAUGGGCGAAAGCCUGACCGAGCGACGCCGCGUGAGCGAUGAAGGCCCUUGUGGUUGUAAAGCUCUGUCAGGAGGGGAUAAAGCGCAGAGGUGAAUACCCUCUGUGUCUGAAGGUACCUCCAGAGGAAGCUCCGGCUAACUCCGUGCCAGCAGCCGCGGUAAUACGGAGGGAGCAAACGUUGUUCGGAUUUACUGGGUGUAAAGGGUGCGUAGGCGGCUUCGUGUGUCGGAGGUGAAAUCCAGCGGCUCAACCGUUGGACUGCCCCCGAAACUGCGAGGCUUGAGUCCGUGAGAGGUUGGUGGAAUUCCUGGUGUAACGGUGAGAUGUGCAGAUAUCAGGAAGAACACCCGUGGCGAAGGCGGCCAACUGGCACGGUACUGACGCUGAGGCACGAAAGCUAGGGUAUCGAACGGGAUUAGAUACCCCGGUAGUCCUAGCCGUAAACGAUGUCCACUUGGUGUCGGAGGUCUCACCCCUUCGGUGCCGGCGCUAACGCAUUAAGUGGACCACCUGGGGAGUACGAUCGCAAGGUUGAAACUCAAAGGAAUUGACGGAAU
rnacentral:rRNA from 1 species